GGCCUGUUGAUUAUGAUUUCAGGUCUCGCCUGCCCACUGAGUAGUUAAAGGGCUGCGGUAUCUUGACCGUGCAAAGGUAGCAUAAUAAUUAGUUUCUUAAUUGGAAGCUUGUAUGAACGGUAGGAUGAGGAAAUUUCUGUCUCUAGCUAAUUUUUUGUUGAAUUUUAUCUUUAAGUAAAAAAGCUUAAAUUUUAUUAAAAGACGAGAAGACCCUGUAGAAUUUUAUACUAAAUUUUGUUGGCUUUCUUAUAGUAUUUUAAUAAAGUUGACUUUUUGAGGUAUUUGGUUGGGGAGAUCGAAAAAUUAAGUUAACUUUUUUUUAAGCGAACCAUUGAUUUAUGAAUAGUUGAUCCAUUUUUAGUGAUUACAAGAUAAAAUUACCUCAGGGAUAACAGCGUAAUCUUCUUUGAGAGUUCUAAUCGAAAAGGGGGUUUGCGACCUCGAUGUUGGAUUAAAGUUAAGGCUUGGUGUAGGGGCUAAGCAUUUUAGGUCUGUUCGACCUUUAAAAUUU
rnacentral:rRNA from 1 species